UUAGAGAACAUUCUGAAGGUUGGGGAAGCCGAAAAGAAUUUAGGGAACAGUGGAGAUUAUAAUAUGUAUGCCCAGAUGAUAGAUGAUGCUGAGGGAUUAGAAAAGAUUGAAAAUCUUCAGAGUCAUGACAAUAAUGAGAUUUAUGAGAAGGCAGUGAAGGUUCUCGAGACAUAUUGGUUAGAGGAGGAUGAUGAGACCUUACCUUCAGGUGAUGGUACCCAGCAAGGAUUUCAGUUUGGUGGAAAUGAUCCCUCAGUUCCAUCUGGUGGAUUCAACUUUAGCUGAAGGGACCUAUAAAUGGCAUGGGCAGAUCACACUAUAGGUGGCAAAUAUGUUGGGUAGAGUACAGUCCGAGUCUCCAUCGCAGCACCUCCUGUCCAUUGUUGUUGUUAAAAGUGGUGCUAGACAGCCCAGUUAUUCUACAACUCCAUAGCUGUUGACUUGAAAUGGCCACAUUACCUAGACCAAAAAAUACUAUAUGAUGAUGUGAUAUGAAAGGCGUUCACAAAGGUUUAUUGUUUGCAUGAGUAUGGCCUUCUUACUUGAAUCACUGAAUGGGUGGGCUAAAGUGCUGGUGAAGGUAUAGUUGUGUGCAACAUGGGUCCUUGUUUUCAGAGUCUUGGUUGUAAUAGUAGUUUUACACCAUUAGUAUUCAUUUUAUCAUUGAUUCCGUGAAUAUAUUAAGCAUAAACCUCAUUUUCCUGAUGUAUUUCAAGUGAACAAAAAAUGAUUAUUGCUGUUCAUGUUUUGAUUCUGAGAAGUGGCAGUCGAACACAUUGCAUGUUAAAAGAGUCUUCUUUAUUGGAAAGAAAAUUGGGAGUUUCAUUUCAUUGUCAUGUAGGCAGGAGUUACCUUGCCAAACAAUUUAUAGAAUCAAAACAUGAACAGCAAUAAUCAUU
rnacentral:misc_RNA from 1 species